GGGAGGACAUACUUGGUGACUGGUAGGAAGAGAAUCCUGUCCUUCAACUUCGCUUCAAACUUGUGAGACGAACGAUCGUUGUUAUCAGUUUCCCGAUGUUUUAUUAGUUUGUAAUUCAAAUAAGAAGACAGUGAACAUAUAAGUGAAGCGUGAGAUAAGAAUCACCUUUGCAGCUGACACCGUUACUGACAUUAUCUGAUUAUCGAUCUGCAUUAUCGCUCGUAUACUCAAGGAGGAUAAAUCGAUGAUAACAUCAGAUUUCUCGGUAUUACUAGGAAACUUCAGGAGUUACCGUUAUCUUCUCAUUUUUCAUGUUCUUUUGUAAAUAUUGUUGAAAAUAUUUUCGACGUUAAAACGAUCAAGCGACCAGUUGUAAUAGGCCACAGGGAAUAAUGGAAACAGUUAAGUUGUUUAUGACCGAAACACCCCAACACGUCGACCAACCCCAUAGACAAAGGGCCUUACCUCACACCCUGGAUGAACUGGUGUCCAGGGACACUUUUUAACGAACUAUCGAGCAUGCAGCAUUGGACAUUAACAACCUAGCUUACAUUAUAUCGAGUCUUUAAUGAAUGUUUAAUUGUUAACAAUAAAUGAAAGAUCGAGUCAUUCAAUUAAA